CUGCUAUCGGGGUUCGAUUAAGCCAUGCGAGUCGAGAGGGUUCGGCACUCGGCGGACUGCUCAGUAACACGUGGAUAACCUGCCCUGAGGUGGGGCAUAACCCCGGGAAACUGGGGAUAAUACCCCAUAGGAUACCGUGACUGGAAUGUCCGGUAUCCGAAAGCCCCGGCGCCUCAGGAUGGAUCUGCGGCCGAUUAGGUAGUUGUUGGGGUAACGGCCCAACAAGCCUGUAAUCGGUACGGGUUGUGGGAGCAAGAGCCCGGAGAUGGACUCUGAGACACGAGUCCAGGCCCUACGGGGCGCAGCAGGCGCGAAAACUUUACAAUGCAGGCAACUGUGAUAAGGGAACCCCGAGUGCCCGUAUACGCGGGCUGUUCGGAUGUCCAAAAAGCAUCCGGAGAAAGGGCCGGGCAAGACCGGUGCCAGCCGCCGCGGUAAUACCGGCGGCUCGAGUGGUGGCCGCUUUUAUUGGGCUUAAAGCGUCCGUAGCUGGAUUGUUAAGUCCCUUGGGGAAAUCCGCCNGCUUCAACCGGCGGGGCGUCUAAGAGAUACUGGCAAUUCUAGGGACCGGAAGAGGUGAGAGGUACUCCAGGGUAGGAGUGAAUCCUGUAAUCCCUGGGGGAACCNCUUGUGGCGAAGGCGUCUCACCAGGACGGCUCCCACAGUGAGGGAACAAAGCCUGGGGGAACNAACCGGAUUAAANCCCCGGGU
rnacentral:rRNA from 1 species